CCUACGUGAGGCAGCAGUGGGGAAUAUUGCGCAAUGGGCGAAAGCCUGACGCAGCGACGCCGCGUGAGGGAUGAAGGUCUUCGGAUCGUAAACCUCUGUCAGCAGGGAAGAACGGUCACUGUGCUAAUCAGCAGUGAAUUGACGGUACCUGCAAAGGAAGCACCGGCUAACUCCGUGCCAGCAGCCGCGGUAAUACGGAGGGUGCGAGCGUUAAUCGGAAUUACUGGGCGUAAAGCGCUCGUAGGCGGUAUGUCAAGUCAAGGGUGAAAUCCCCGCGCUCAACGUGGGAACUGCCUUUGAAACUGGCAAACUGGAGUGUGUGAGAGGAGAGUGGAAUUCCAGGUGUAGGAGUGAAAUCCGUAGAUAUCUGGAGGAACAUCAGUGGCGAAGGCGACUAUCUGGCACAUAACUGACGCUGAGGAGCGAAAGCGUGGGUAGCAAACAGGAUUAGAUACCCUAGUAGUC
rnacentral:rRNA from 1 species